CAAAAAUUUGACAAAAUGGACAAAUGCAAAAUAAAAAAAGAAAAUGCUGAUUAACACCUAUUGAUUUUAGUAAUAUUUUACAAUUGGAAAUUAAUGAGUUCGAUCAUUAUGAUCUUGAUGAAUUAUUAGUAAAAGAAGUAAGUCAAAGAGUUCAGCUCUAUGAUUUUAGUUUACCCUCAUCCCAACGUUCGAGAGACAUUACUUAUAAAUUAUGGGAAGAAGUGUCUGAAAAUUUACAUGGUAAAUUAACACCGGAUGAAGCUCGAAGAAAAUGGAAAGUAUUUCGGGAUCAAUUCGCUAAGAUUUUAGCAAAUGAAAGAAAAUCUUUAGAUUUAGGUCGACCUCAGAAAAAACACAAAUGGAGAUUAUAUAAAGACAUGGAAUUUUUAAGAAGUUAUAUGAAUUCUAAUAAAAAAAACAAAACAGAUGAAAAUUGUAUAGAUAUUAAACCAAAUUUA